rnacentral:rRNA from 1 species
GGGGAAUUUUGGACAAUGGGCGCAAGCCUGAUCCAGCAAUGCCGCGUGCAGGAUGAAGGCCUUCGGGUUGUAAACUGCUUUUGUACGGAACGAAAAGCCUCUCUCUAAUACAGGGGGGUGAUGACGGUACCGUAAGAAUAAGCACCGGCUAACUACGUGCCAGCAGCCGCGGUAAUACGUAGGGUGCAAGCGUUAAUCGGAAUUACUGGGCGUAAAGCGUGCGCAGGCGGUUUUGUAAGACAGUGGUGAAAUCCCCGGGCUCAACCUGGGAACUGCAUUCGAUACUGGGAAGCUAGAGUAUGGGAGAGGAUGGUAGAAUUCCAGGUGUAGCGGUGAAAUGCGUAGAGAUCUGGAGGAAUACCGAUGGCGAAGGCAGCCAUCUGGCCUAAUACUGACGCUGAGGUACGAAAGCAUGGGGAGCAAACA